GAUGAAGAACGUAGCGAAAUGCGAUAAGUAGUGUGAAUUGCAGAAUUCAGUGAAUCAUCGAAUCUUUGAACGCUCAUUGCGCCCCUUGGUAUUCCAUGGGGCAUGCCUGUUCGAGCGUCAUUUGUACCUUCAAGCUCUGCUUGGUGUUGGGUGUUUGUCUCGCCUCUGCGCGUAGACUCGCCUCAAAACAAUUGGCAGCCGGCGUAUUGAUUUCGGAGCGCAGUACAUCUCGCGCUUUGCACUCAUAACGACGACGUCCAAAAGUACAUUUUUACACUCUUGACCUCGGAUCAGGUAGGGAUACCCGCUGAACUUAAGCAUAUCAAUAAGCGGAGGA
rnacentral:misc_RNA from 1 species